rnacentral:lncRNA from 1 species
AUAAGUUUUAAAAAAGUGGCAGUUAUUUCAUGACAAAACUGAACCUUAUAUUGACUUGUACUGAAAAAAAAUCAAAAUACCUUUAAUUGCAUGUUAGAGCGUACUGGUUCCUUGAAGUUUGAUAGUAUAAAAUCAGGAACUUCUUAACUGAACAACAGGCCAAAUGUGCCCAAAUAAUUACACCAGGGUUUUCGAUAUAACAAACUAGACAAAACAUUUACUAAAUUUUAUCGUCGGUACAAGGAUAUCAUUCCUAAAUAUAGCUCUGGCCUUUGUUAGUAUUGUAUGAUUUUUAAUUUAAGUUUCUUGUGUAUAAUUUGGCGUUUAGAAUGGCGUUCAUUAUCACUGUACUAGUAUACAUAUUU